rnacentral:rRNA from 1 species
GUCGAACGCUGGCGGCGUGCCUAACACAUGCAAGUAGAACGCAGUUGCGAACGGGUGAGUAACGCGUCGGUAACUGCCUGGUAGCGGGGGAUAACUAUUGGAAACGAUCGCUAAUACUGCAUACUACCAGAUGGACCUGCGUUGUAUUAGUUAGUUGGUGAGGUAGCGGCGCACCAAGGCAACGAUACAUAGCCGACCCGGGAGGGUGAUCGGCCACACUGGGACGGGGACACGGCCCAGGCUCCGACGGGGGGCAGCAGGAGGGGAUCUGCGGCAAUGGGGGGCACCCUGACCGAGCAACGCCGCGUGAGUGAAGAAGGUUUUCGGGUCGUAAAGCUCGGUUGUUAGGGGAGCGGUACUUGACCAGAAAGGGACGGCUAACUACGUGCCAGCAGCCGCGGUAAUAC